rnacentral:misc_RNA from 1 species
AUAUAUGCGAGCGUCCGAACACCUCCUCUCUUCUCUCCGCGAGUGAACAAGGUCACGGAGGUCGGCUCUCGAAUACGUAACAACGAAAUACCAUCACAGGCUUGCAGGCAAAGAUCACCACACACACACACUCUCUCUCGCAGCAGCAACGGCGUUCGGCUAGAGGCACCCCAGGACCUCACCCUGCACACACACACACACACGCACGCACACACAGCAAUGCCCACCGCUGCCACAGGAAAGUCGGCGAUGCCUUACCCAAACGAAAGCGCGCACGGGCACGAGUGGGAGUACGACUCCCCGAACAGAGACGGUGCGGAGCUUCUCGAGGAGCAGGCGUACGCUGCCGAGGUAGAGGGCCCCAAAAAGAAAGCGGCAGCCACUUCGGAAGACUCGCAGAAAGGAGUGGACCCGUUCGACUUCUCAGUCAACAGCCCAGAACAGCGCAUUGCCCGCAUGGACCGCGAGCGGGCGGAGCGGGUGCAACGCCGUCGCACGGAGCUCAAUUUCUUUCAGCGGUGGUUUAGUUACAUCCUCCCCUAUGGCGGCGUCGUGGCCUCUGGCAUCAACCUCGCCAGCUCUUGCAUUGGCGCGGGUAUUAUCGCGCUGCCCUCCGCCUUCAACGCCGCAGGCAUUAUCGUGGCCAUGAUCUACAUGGUGGUCAUCGCCUACCUCACCAUCUACUCAUACAUACUCCUCGCCAUUGUCGCGAAGAAAACGGGACUGCGCAACUACGAGCAGAUCGUGCGCACGCUGAUGGGCCCCGGCGCAGGCUACUUCCUCGCCUUCUGCCUCUGGUUUCUCAGCUUUGGUGCGGAGGUGUCGUACGCGAUUUCGCUGAAGGAUGUGCUGACGGCCUUCCUGGACGCGUCGGAGACUGCUCCGGCGUACCUCCAGACGCUCUCCGGUCAGCGUGUCAUGACGUUUGUGCUGUGGCUCGUGGCCAUGCUGCCGCUGUGUCUGCCGAAGGAGAUCAACUCGCUGCGCUACUUCUCCUGCGUCGCGAUCUGCUUCGUCGUUUACUUUGCGAUCGCCAUGGUGAUACACAGCGGCGUGAACGGCCUGCAAGAGAACCCCCGCCCUGCUGUGAAACUCUUCAACCAGGGCAACACCGCCAUCGGUGGCCUGGCCACUUUUCUCUUCGCCUUUAUCUCGCAGCUCAACGCGAUGGAGGUGGCGGGUGAGAUGCACAAGUUUUCGGUGCGCCGCAUGUCGAUCGCAUCCGCGAUUGGAGUUUGUAUUUGCUUUGUGCUGUACUUCUUUGCUGGUCUCUUCGGCUACCUGGACUUCGGCCCGAAGGUCACCGGCUCGGCGCUGAAGCAGUACAACCCCGUCAAGGAUACAAUGAUGGGUGUCGGUUACGGUGGCCUCAUGUUGAAGCUGUGCGUCGGCUACGGUCUGCACAUGAUCCCGGUUCGUGAUGCCAUCUACUACGUGUGCCAGACAAACGUGCACAACAUCGCCUGGUGGAAGAACGCGUGCGUGUGCGGGUCAAUGGCCGUAUUGUCGCUCAUCUGCGGUCUCUUCGUGCCUCGCAUCAACGUCGUCUUUGGACUCGUCGGUGGCUUCUCUGGCGGCUUCAUUGGCUACAUCUACCCAGCGCUCAUGGUCAUGUACUCCGGCAACUGGACCUUCUCGAGCGCUGGUUUCUUCCACUACGUCUGCACCUACCUGCUGCUUUUUGUUGGCGUCAUAGCUGUAGUCUGGGGUACCAGCGCCGCCAUUUUUGACGAGGUCAUGGCACAGCGCGGCUAAGCGGGCUAUCCCUGACCCGCGUGGGCGUGUCUUCCGCGAUUCACCUCACUUUUUUCGGCUCGCUCCUUUUCUUUGUCACCGGCACACACGAACUCGCACACACGCGUCUCUCGCUGCGUUUCCCUGCUGCGUGCGCUCUCCACCGAGUGCACCGUUGUUUUUUCCUUCUUCGUUUUUAAUGUCUCUCUCUCUCUCUCGAUCUCUCUUUUCCUCGCUGUUGUCGUUUUUUUUUUCUUCGUUGUUGGCCAAAUCGACAUACCGAUGCAGGGACGCAGGAUGGCCGAUGGCCCCAGAAAGGCGGGGAGAAGGUUUAGGGCUGCAACGGCGCAAGGAUGGAUGGUCGCGACGGGGUGGGAGGAGUGAUCUAAGCAUUGACCGUUGUUGCUCAGGGCAGUUGAUCGCCCCCUGGCUGGCACUUGUGUGGGCACAUUGGUGCAACCGCAGCUGCGCACGAUGCUGUGACCGUUGAGCGGUGUCGCACUGCCACCAUGCCCUUCAAGGUCUGGCCUCCAUUCACUCGCUCUCUCUUACCCUUCGACUAAUUUAGCGCCCGCAAUGUUGUUUGCUUGAGAACGGAAGUGAGGGCUCCCCACCACCGUCUUCUGCCCCAGCAGCGCUGCACCUCGCCGACAGGCACCUCGUGUGCCUCCUUGCAUACCCCCUCCUCCUCCUCCUCCCUCUUGCCUGGGCAUUUCAGGAUCAUCCGAAAGUCUGAUUGACUCCGCUCUCCCUCUAUAUGUGCCGCGCAUCUCCGUGCCCACUGUGGCUCGAUGUGCAUGUGCGAGUGGACGUUCAGCCCAGCGUGAGAGGCGCGGGCCUUGCACCGCGUACACGCAUGCACGUAUAUGCGUUUUUUCACCUCUGUGCGUUUUCCCUCACGCUUCUUGUCCCUGCGAAGUGUUUGGUCUGAUCUCCCUCUCCAUCUCCCCGGACUCAGCGAAAAGGACAGCACCACCGCCCCCCUCCCCUCCCUCAAGCCUGUGAGCUGGUGCUUCGCCGCCACGACCGCACACUCACACAGAUGAGUGAUCGCGCACAUGCCAGCGCAGCGUUGCCUCCCCUGUUCUUUUUUUUUUCGCGGCGGCGAUAUAAAGCGAGCAAUCAACCGAUAAUGACCCACCUUGUUGUACACUUCUAAGAACGCGGCUGUUCCUUCGUUUUUCCUCAUCCCUCCUGCCCCCCUCCCUCGUCGUUCCAAGGAGUAGGUGGAAGGCGUGGGCAGCGACAACACGUGUUCAUGGUGGCGUCCACAGCUUGCUUGCGAGGAAAGACAGAGGUGCCUUCUUUUCAUGUCCGUCUUGCUCUCUCCUUCUCUCCCUCCCCUUCUGUCAGGAGGGGAGAAGAGCGAACGCAGCGGACAAGGCGAAAUUCAAAAAAGAAAUGCGCCCCGCCUUCCCUACCGGCCCUCUCUUGCGCAGUUUCGUGUGUGAAUGUUGUGUUCCCUGUAAUUUUGAGCUCCCUCUCCCCUCCCCUUCCCCUCCCCUCUCUCUUUGCCUCUCUCUUUUAUUCGAACUCUUUUCUGUCGGAAUGCCAUUCCUGUGGUGCUUCCUCGCCCUCCCUCCCCCCUUUUCAUUUUUCCGUUGUAUCUCUCUCUAUUUCUCUAUUUCUUUCUCCCUCACACAGACGCGCAUGUCUUUCAGGUGUCUUACUUCCGUCGAGCCAGGAGCGUCUGUCGCUGAGACCUUCCCUCCGCCUACUCAUCUCUGACGAACCAACUGCGUAUGUUUUCCCAGGUUUAUCUUGUUUGACGUUUAUUGCACUCUACUUGUGUUGUGUCACCUCUUUCUUGGCCUUCGCCCUCUCACUGCGAGCCUCCUGCUCCUCCCACGCAGCACUCACUGAUUCAUAAGCCCAUCUACAAUGCUGCUUCCCAUGUACGUGCCCUCCUCCUCCUUCCGCCAAUUCUCUUCGAUGCGUGCACGUGUGUCUGAGCGGGUGACCGGGCGCGUGGGGGUGCUGUGCACCUUGGUGCUACGUAUCAGGGACGGCCUUCUUUUCUUCUUGUUCUCAGCACUUGUUGGUGAGGAUGACCUUCCUAAACCUCUCGGAUCUGCUCUCCGUCGGUGUCGACGAAGCGGCGUCUUUGCGUGCGCACUGGCGGGCGCGUUUCUAGUCCACCCCCCUCUCUCACUUCGUUUUCCAGGUGUGGGUCGCCUGCACAUUCACGCAGUGAGACGGACUGUCUAUCGUCCACGUGCUCAAGAGCAUCUCAAGAAGGACUAAAUGGAGGGAGAAAGAGAGAGAGUAGUGCGUGUGCCUAUCAGCACAGACACCGCGACGUGUGCACGCAUACACGGGUAGGCACUGAGGAACGCCUCCCAAUAUGCGUGCACGAGCACACGCAUACCUGCCAUCGCCAAUGGGACGGUAGCUCAGCAGACGCACCCGCAGAUUCGCAAUGUGUGAAGGGUACAGCAGCUGUGAUGCACCCAAGCCGGCGGACAGCGAGUGCUCACAGAUUGAGAUUGCAUGCUAGGUGAGCGGAGCCAACAGAAGCAGAAGCCAAUGGCGUGGCAUCCUCCCACUUCCGCAACUCAUGGCUGUUACUUUCCUCUUUACCAGAGGUGCCACAUAACGGUCCAUUCAUAAGCGUGUACUCGCGCACGUUUCGUCCAUCAUAUACGCCCCUGCCCCCCAUACACACACGAAAACACUCGCACGGAGGUGCAUCGCUGCGAUUCAUCUCCAUUCUACGGCUUAC